rnacentral:misc_RNA from 1 species
GUGAAUCAUCAAAUCUUUGAACGCAAAUUGCACUCUCUUCGGAGAGUAUGCCUGUUUGAGGGUCAGCCUAAAAAAAAAAUCGACAUAGUCGCUGUUUCCCCGUUACAUUCAUCGGAAAUUGGGUCUUUUUUAACCUUUUGAGCUUAAGCGGCUUAAACUUUUUUUUACCUUUCUGCAAUCGUUUCUAAGCUUU